rnacentral:rRNA from 1 species
AACGAACGCUGGCGGCAGGCUUAACACAUGCAAGUCGAACGCACCUUUCGGGGUGAGUGGCAGACGGGUGAGUAACGCGUGGGAAUCUACCCUUCUCUACGGGAUAGCUCCGGGAAACUGGAAUUAAUACCGUAUACGUCCUGAGGGAGAAAGAUUUAUCGGGCAAGGAUGAGCCCGCGUUGGAUUAGCUAGUUGGUGGGGUAAAGGCCUACCAAGGCGACGAUCCAUAGCUGGUCUAAGAGGAUGAUCAGCCACAUUGGGACUGAGACACGGCCCAAACUCCUACGGGAGGCAGCAGUGGGGAAUAUUGGACAAUGGGCGCAAGCCUGAUCCAGCCAUGCCGCGUGAGUGAUGAAGGCCCUAGGGUUGUAAAGCUCUUUCAGUGGGGACGAUAAUGACGGUACCCACAGAAGAAGCCCCGGCUAACUUCGUG